CACGGGGGGGGCAAGCGUUGUCCGGAAUUAUUGGGCGUAAAGGGCGCGUAGGUGGGAUAGCAAGUCUGGGGUGCAAACUUGUGGCUUAACUGCAAGCUUGCCCUGGAUACUACUAUUCUUGAGUUCGGAAGAGGGAAAUGGAAUUCCUGGUGUAGCGGUGAAAUGCGUAGAUAUCAGGAAGAACACCGGUGGCGAAGGCGGUUUCCUGGUCCGAUACUGACACUGAUGCGCGAAAGUGUGGGGAGCAAACAGG
rnacentral:rRNA from 1 species